rnacentral:rRNA from 1 species
UACGUAGGUGGCAAGCGUUGUCCGGAUUUACUGGGCGUAAAGAGCGCGCAGGCGGUCGAAUAAGUCGAAUGUGAAAGCCCCCGGCUUAACUGGGGAGGGUCAUUCGAUACUGCUCGACUUGAGGGCAGUAGAGGGUGGUGGAAUUCCGGGUGUAGUGGUGAAAUGCGUAGAUAUCCGGAGGAACACCUGUGGCGAAAGCGGCCACCUGGACUGCACCUGACGCUGAAACGCGAAAGCUAGGGGAGCGAACGGG